AUUGAACGCUGGCGGCAGGCCUAACACAUGCAAGUCGAACGAGUGGCGGACGGGUGAGUAAUGUCUGGGAACCUGCUUGAUGGAUGGGGAUAACUACUGGAAACGGUAGCUAAUACCGCAUACCAUCGGAUGUGCCCAGAUUGGAUUAGCUAGUAGGUGGGGUAAAGGCUCACCUAGGCGACGAUCCCUAGCUGGUCUGAGAGGAUGACAAGCCACACUGGAACUGAGACACGGUCCAGACUCCUACGGGAGGCAGCAGUAGGGAAUAUUGCGCAAUGGGCGAAAGCCUGAUGCAGCAAUGCCGCGUGAGUGAAGAAGGUCUUCGGAUUGUAAAGCACUUUAAGUUGGGAGGCGUUACCAACAGAGUAAGCACCGGCUAACUACGUGCCAGCAGCCGCGGUAAUAC
rnacentral:rRNA from 1 species